rnacentral:rRNA from 1 species
GUGUCAGCAGCCGCGGUAAUACGGAGGGUGCAAGCGUUGUUCGGAAUCACUGGGCGUAAAGGGCGCGUAGGCGGCCCAGCAAGUCGGAUGUGAAAGCCCUGGGCUCAACCCAGGAAGUGCAUCCGAUACUACUGGGCUUGAGUACGGGAGAGGGAAGUGGAAUUCCCGGUGUAGGGGUGAAAUCCGUAGAUAUCGGGAGGAACACCGGUGGCGAAGGCGACUUCCUGGACCGCUACUGACGCUGAGGCGCGAAAGCGUGGGGAGCAAACAGGAUUAGAUACCCUGGUAGUCCACGCCGUAAACGGUGGGCAAUAGGUGUGGGGCCUUUAAUGGUUCCGUGCCGAAGGGAAACCAAUAAGUGCCCCGCCUGGGAAGUACGGCCGCAAGGCUGAAACUCAAAUGAAUUGACGGGG